AGUGAACGCUGGCGGUAGGCCUAACACAUGCAAGUCGAACGGCAGCACAGUAAGAGCUUGCUCUUACGGGUGGCGAGUGGCGGACGGGUGAGGAAUAUAUCGGAAUCUACUUUUUCGUGGGGGAUAACGUAGGGAAACUUACGCUAAUACCGCAUACGACCUACGGGUGAAAGCAGGGGAUCUUCGGACCUUGCGCGAAUGAAUGAGCCGAUGUCGGAUUAGCUAGUUGGCGGGGUAAAGGCCCACCAAGGCGACGAUCCGUAGCUGGUCAGAGAGGAUGAUCGGCCGCACUGGAACUGGGACACGGUCCAGACUCCUGCGGGAGGCAGCAGUGGCGAAUAUUGGACAAUGGGCGCAAGCCUGAUCCAGCCAUACCGCGUGGGUGAAGAAGGCCUUCGGGUUGUAAAGCCCUUUUGUUGGGAAAGAAAAGCAGCAGGUUAAUACCCCGCUGUUCUGACGGUACCCAAAGAAUAAGCACCGGCUAACUUCGUG
rnacentral:rRNA from 1 species